rnacentral:lncRNA from 1 species
UUCAUUCACUCACGUUUCACUUUAGAGGAAGAGAAAUUAUCUUUCACUUCUCAUUCAUUCAUUCACUCACAACAACUCAUUCUUCUCUCUCUCUCUCUCUCUCUCUCUCAAAUUUGCAUAUUUUCUCUCUCUCCUUCCCUCUCUCUCUUCUUCUUCCCUUUCUUUCUCUCCCUCUUUUGUUCUCUUGGAAAGAAGAAGAAAUCACGCAAUUCAUUCUCUCUGGAGAUUCCAUUGUUUUCCUUCAAGGUACCAUUUUUACUGUUAUGUAUAGUAAUUGUCAAAUUUAGUAAUUAUUUCAAUAUUGAUAAAAUGCUCAAUACCCUUUUUUAUUUAUUUAUUUUUUGUGCAAAAAUUAGAACUUUUAUAUGUGAGUUUUGUUUGUAGUCUCUGAUUAGUGAGUAUCAUAUUCAUUGGUUGCAUGCUGUAGAAUCUUGAAUUUGAUGUGGUAUUUUCCAUCUGUUGCAAGUUCUAUAAAUUGGUAUUUGGAUUUUGUUUUUCUAUGUUCUUUAUUUCUUCUAUUUAAAACUAACAUGAAACUUCUUAAAUUUGUUAGGUAAGUGGCAACUAAAUAGCCAUUUAAGUUAGAGAUGUAAAACUUUAUCUUUGUGAGGUUGAGUGUGGUACUAUAAUGCGUUUCUAUUAAUGCAUAUUUUGAGGAUGAAGCUUGUUUACUAACUUUCUCCAAAUAGAAGAAUAUUUCAGCUUGAUGUUUGGUUUGUCAAGCCUAUGUUUUCAAUGAUUGGGUUUCAUGACUAACUUGGAUCAUAAUAAGCUAGUGGCAGAAAACAAAAAUAGUAAAAAUAAGAAUGCUUGACAUAUACUAUAUGGCUAGUUAAGUUUGUCCAAUUUGAUGAAAAAGUAGUAGAAACAAGAAUGCUUGGCAUAUCAAACAUUCUACAUAUGUUGACGAAUGCAUAUGUAGAAUGUAAUUGAGUUAGAGGAUCUUGAAAUUCUCACACGCUAACACAAAAAUGUGCUAUAACUUAAGUAGAUUUACAGAUGUUAUGUUUCUUGAUGUUGGUAAAGGCUUUAAGUGUGGCUACUAAACUCAGACUGUAAAUCAUCUUGUGGUGCUAUAUGAAAAAUUCAAGUAAUGUUCAUAUGAAGAAGGGUCAAAGUGAUGUUUAUUGAAAAUCCAUGUUUAUGCUAUAUGAAAAAUUCUGAUUCUGAUUUUUUUCCAUUAACAAUAGGAGGAAGGGUCUGAAGUAUCAGCUGACCUUGCAUUUCUUAACUAGUAGAAUCAUAUCCUUGGUAUGGAGAAUAAAGCUCUCAAGCAUUGCUUAAAAUUUUAGCAUAAGAGAUUUCCGACAUGUGUUCUCUUCAUGUCCAUGAAGCUGACUCAAUAUUGUCCUUGAAGAUAAAGAAAUUGCUCAUAUGCAUGCCUCACGACUCUUGAAAGGAUCAUGAAAUGUCAAAUCUGUGAAACUCCUAAGUGUAUUAGGAAUAGUUUCACAUUGUAAUUAUAUAAUGAGUGUUGUAUUAGAAAUAUAACAAAAGUGCAUUAGGAAUUGAUGAUGCACAAAUUGAUGUUUUAUUAACAUUGUUGAUCAUGUAUUGUGUUAUGCUCUAUUUUGUAUGUUAUAACAUUGCGUUGUACU